UACAGAGGGUGCGAGCGUUAAUCGGAAUUACUGGGCGUAAAGCGUGCGCAGGCGGUUUUGCAAGCCAGAUGUGAAAUCCCCGGGCUUAACCUGGGAAUGGCAUUUGGGACUGCAAGGCUGGAGUGUGGCAGAGGAGACUGGAAUUCCCGGUGUAGCAGUGAAAUGCGUAGAUAUCGGGAGGAAUACCGAUGGCGAAGGCAGGUCUCUGGGCUGACACUGACGCUCAUGCACGAAAGCGUGGGGAGCAAACAGG
rnacentral:rRNA from 1 species